UGCUUAAUUAUUUUUUGGCUAAUUUUUAAUUUUUAAUUCUCUCUUUCGGUUAAUUUUUUUUUGCAUACUUGGUAUGACAGUUUUCAUUCAUAUUCUGCAAAGAUGAUGUCUAUAUUAUGUAGGGAAUAGGAAUUUACGGUAAACCUCCUUUAUGUCCCCCAACAAUAUUUAACAAUUAUUUAUAAUGAAAAAAAAAUUAUUUUAAUAAUACAUUUUUCUUUUCCUGUUUUCCUGUUUUUCAGAGUUUGACGACAAGUAUGGACUUCAUUAUGGUUGUCCUGUGUGUCUUUUACUUGUGCGUCUGCGUCAGCCUUGCUGUUCUUACCGCAAAGGCUUUAACCAGUCAGAAGAAGAAAAAAGAGGGUGGACGAGAUGCUGACAUUUACCAGGGGGUGUUGAAAGGAUACCCUUAUGAUGAAAAUGUGUGAAUGCUUAAGUAGAAAUUUGCAUGUCUUUAUUCCACCUUUAUACAAACCAAUGAUGAUUUUUAAAAAACAAAUGCAUACAUGUUUAAUUAUCUUAUGUUUUAAAAGACACUUUUUUCCCCCUUAUGUGAUCUAAUGAGAUUUUCAAGUAACGUUCAAUUAAAAUGGUGACCACAGUUACGCAAGGGUCACGAACACCAGCCACAAAGGCUGAAAGGCUGCAUUGUUCCAACUGUUAACGCAACUCAAUCAAAUGUGUGAAUAAGAUCGUUAAACUAUGUCACAUUUUUCUGCGGAGCAAUGGUGAUUGUCGAGUGACUCGGAAUAACGAUUCGUGUUAAAAUAAAUAUUUCAACGUUCGGUUCAUAUCUGCUUUCGGUCACAAGAAUCAUAGAAUCUUACAGAGUCAACAAAGCUGGCCAGACAGAUUAUGUUGUCCUCCAAAUUAUAUCAUUUGGAAAAGUUUGGCGAGAAUGUAAACCAUUGUCCAGUGACAGGUGCAAUACCUGUACCUGGAAUACCUGCCACCCCAGAAGAGCAAAUAUCUAAAACAAACUUGCUUAUAACGUUUGCUUUUUCUUCUUAUCAACUGACUUAUUUCACCCUAUUCUUCUGUACUUUUAUGUAUCAGUCUUUCACCUUUUGAACCAAACAGUCUGACACCCGAGCAUAACUUGUAUUAAAACAUUCUCGAGCUGGAAUAAGAGUACGGUCGUAGAGCGGUUAAACACUUUCUCUUAAACAGCUUUUGUUUUGUUGCUACAUGAUUUUCAACAUAAUUGUCAGGGUUCACAGAGAAUAAAUAAAAUUACAAAAUAUA